CCCAGGUAUGCUAUCUGUUCUCAGGAUCUGCUCAUUGGCUGCUGGGGGUAAUAGGAAUGACCUCAGUGGUGGGUUUUGAGGUUUUUUUGUUUGUUUUUUUCUUUUUCCUUCUAAGAACAAUUCAUUUGGUCACAUAAUUAGUAUAAAAGUGGCUGGUGUUGAGCAACCUCCCCCUCCCCCUUCCCUGGCCUCUGGCAGUGACAUUUGAGGCGCUGUCUCCUGGGGCCACAGAGGAUGCUGCCUGGGCAGUUCAAAGGGUUGGCUCUGCUCCCUGCCCAGCCCCGCCCACUUCCCCUCACCGCCUCCCUCACUUGCCAAGCUUGGCCAGCCUCCCAUCGAGGACUGAGGUCCCGCCCCAGUGGCCUGAGUGGAGCCCCUUCUGCACCUCUCCGCCUCACCCCUCUGCUGUCCAGCUCAGAUGGCAGGGAGGGGCCAGAGUAGAACGGUGUGGGAAGAGGACUGAACCGUUCCCUUCUCAUCCCACCCGGCCACGUGUGUGUGGCCACCCCUGCCACUGCUCUGCCGACUCCACGGCACCUUCCAUGUGCCACUGACCACGGGGCAGCACUGAGAAGGGUGACAAGGAUAUGCCAGCCUUCAGGCUUGCAGUGCCGAGAAGGGGAAGACCAGGCAACGGUGAUGUCAACCAGGGAAUUAAGCAAGCAGAGGAGCCGAUAACAUCACCCCGCAAAGCUCGCCGUGGGCAAGGUGACUCAUCGAAGACCGGCCCCACAAGCACAGGGUGAUUGUUGUUGUGCCCAGCCUGUAGGACUAAGGAGGAAGAAGGGGGCCGGGACGGGCUCCUCACCGAGUCCUCCGCUCGGUGGAGAGGUCUCAGAACACAGUGUCCUCCGCCAUCAGAGCUCCCUGCUGGCUCAGGAAACAGCCCUCCCUCCUGCUGUGGUGAUAAUCUCUGUCCGCAGCGUUUGGUGUGUGUUUGUGGGGUAUGUCUGGGUGAUUUCCCCACCCGCAUCCCACAGGGGUGCUCCAGGUACUAGAGAUUGCUAACAGCAGAACGCUCGCUCCCCCUGGUUGGACGACCGUCUGUGGAGACAAUGCCACCGGAUGGCAGACUGCUAACCGCGACCACGUGGCGUCCUCAUGGUGGGUACAGCCUGUUCCUCCUGCUGCAGGCACCUGUCGAGCUGCCUCGACUCCUCGCUCCCUCACCCCCUCCGGUCUGCAGAAGGGGCCAAAACUGUUGUGUUCCUCCCAUCCCCAGAGUCACCUUGUAUUGUCGUCCAAGUUGAGAGCUGAACAACUGGAGGGGACACCAUUUACUUUACAGUCUAUGUGCCAGACCUCAUGUCUGCGCGUGCUGGCCCUGCCCCUUCUCUUUCCUAAAUUACUUCUCACUCCCCACCCCCACCUAGAAUUAUCUAUUUGGUUUGCCCUUAGCAAGUUCAUCUUUACGCUAAACUAUCCCCCCAUAAAGCAUAAGACUCUUCCUUUA